UCCGCGAGGAGGCUGUUUUGUCCCUGAAGUUUUGAGCAGAACGAAAUAUCAAUGGUUGGGAGUAAAGGGGGCCCUGCCUCCCAUAAUCCUGAAAUCCAGCUCCCAGGAGGCACGGGGAGAGCCUGAGGCCUGAACAGAACCCUGCCAUCACCACUUCAACAAGCCCAGAUAAGCCUGCUACAAGACGAGAGACCACAUGGAGCAGAGAUGAGUCAGCUGGGGUCAUCCAAACCAGCUAGCCCCCAGCCAACCCUCCAGCUGACAGAAGACACAUGCAUGCACCCAAGAGAGAACAGAAGAACCACCCAGCUGAGCCCAGCCCAAGCUGCUGAUCCACAGAAUCAGGAACUAAGUGAAGAAACUGAAGCUCAGAGAGGUUAACUGAGGCCCAAGGCCACCAGCUAGUAAUGGAUAGGACAGGCAUUCGAACUCAAGUCUGUCUGACUCCUCUCCCGCAUGGGUCAAAGGACAUCUCCAGUUACCUUAACUAGCUGCCUACAGAGGAAAGUGGAGGAAAGCGCUACAGAGCAAAGGUCAAAACUGCACUCACCUUUUCCCAGAGGAGGCGGAUCGG